rnacentral:lncRNA from 1 species
UAAAUAUAGACCCAUAGAGCCUCCAAAAAUCAUCCGAUUCGGGUUAAAUCAAUAUUUUGAUUUGACUAGAUUCAUUUAAGAAAAAUAUAUUUCUCCUCUCCGGCGCGACUUCUGGAAAUUGUCUCUUCUCUCCAAAGUCGUCUUUUCUCUGUCUUAUAAAGGUAUCUUUCUUUGUUUUUUUAUAAUUCCGUAGUUUAUUAUUUCUAGACUAAUAUGAUAGAAUAAUUAGAUUAUCAAUUAGUCUACGUAUUUAUACAUUAGACCUUAGCCCUAGCUAUUUUUCUUCCGUAAAAUAGUUUGGCCCUGAUUUUUCAAAUAGCCAUAACUUUUUACUCGUUCAUCCAAAUUAGAUGAAACCAACAGCCACUUCUUCGUUACGAUCUCCUCUGUCCAGUAAAACAACUUAAACAUGUUUUUGAAAGUAUUAAAAUUUGAAUUCAAACAGAUUGUAUUCAAACUUCUUUUGUUCAUAACUUGAGUUUUAUAACUCCAAUUUAGUUGAUUCUUUUUGCAAAUCGAAGCUCUUGACUUAAACUUUCUGAUAAGGCCAAAUUAACAUAAUUUUGGUACUGUUAGAAAUUGUUUUAUGUUGCAAGAGUUAUUUGUUGGUUUUGAUGUUUUCCGAACUGUUUUCUUCGUUCUUCCCGAUCUUUUGAGUGAUUGCUUAUGUGUGGUUACUAUUGCUUUCUCACGAUAGAUUGAAUGGAGUGUGAUGAGUAGAAAUAUCAAGAGUUAUGACUGUGAAUCAUCUUCAUCAACAGUACAAGGUAAGUUCACGCUUUGAUCAUAUCCCUUUCAUACCUAGUUUUUAUGCAUUAGUUUCAACCCCCAAACAUUGCAUGGUUAGGAUUUGAUAACAUGUGGGUAUCGGGAAGUAGUUGAUGAGGUACAAACCUAUUGCCCUGCAUUCAAACCCUGGGAGUUACUUUUAUGUUAUGCUCAUAUUGCUAUGCUAUGCUAUGCUCGUAGACGUGGAUUGGUUUGAGAGAAUUCAUGACAGAUGUGAGAGUUAUUACUUAAUUGUUAACUUAAGGUGGCUACUUUAAUACACAUCUGGGUGGAUUGGUUAGGGCACCCUGGAGCACCCAGUGUUUGCCCAAGGGGAUCCCGGAGGACCCGUGUGAUCACCCUAUGGAAUGCCACUCAGGCUCAAAGGGAUCAUAAGAUUAUUCAUGCUAGAAACUUCCGUGUGCACCCACAAGCUAUUAUGGGCUCUAGCAUAGUUGAGUAAGUUGCGUGAAGCUCUUGAAGAGGUAGACUAGCAGAUGUAGUGGGUUGUAGGUGGUAUAGUCUAUCCGGAGUAGAGUGUUAAUGCUUCUGAAAGACUGUGUCUCGGUCAUCCGUUUCUCAAACACCAUGUAGUGCGAGAAAUCCAACAGAGGAGAUCGAGUCUUGUAGGGAAAAGUGCGCAAACCUCUACAGAGUGUACAAACUAAUCAUGGUUAGCCGUGUCCCCGAUUAUGGACAUCUUCACUAUCUGGUUCUUGGAUUAUCAUAUUGAUCUCAUCACUUUACUUAAUUACUUUGUCGGGUUGAUGAUUAUUAAUUUGGGAUUGAGUUGGAGGAACCUUCUCAAUGUUUUCAACAAACUUAGUAGUUAAAUAAAAUAUAUUCUUUUGCAGUAGGGAAAAAUUAGCUUUUCGCAAAAACAUUAUAACCAUAGAGCUUUUCCACCAGCCAAAUAUGCAUGUAGUGAUAGCCUUUAUUCAUCAUUAUCCUAUGGUGUGAAUUUGCCAGUACAUUCAAUGUACUGACCCUUUGUGGCUGCAACGUCUCAUGUUGCAGGAUUCUUACGAUGAGUAAGUGAUACGUUAGGGUUACGAUUUCCACACUCAACUUUGCCGUUGGUGUUGAUGGGAAUCCACAACCUUAUUACUUCUGCUAUUUGGAUUGAGGUAAUAGUAUUUACGUUAUUUUAUACAUGUGAUUUACCUCUGUUAUAAAUCCUCGAGUACUAUGUGUGUCAGCAUACCGAUCCAGGGAUGACACUUAAGCACAAAGACUAGACCGUCUGAUGUCUGGUCGCUACAAGAUGGUAUCAAAGCACAUGUUGACUGUAGGGCGUGACCCCUAGAAACUGGCAAGCCCAUAGGAAAUAUUUUCUCUACAACUUUCUUUUCAAAAGUAUCUUUUACCUCUCUUCUCUUCUGAGCUUAUUCAAAUAUUCCCUUUUAGUGAGACUAUACCCCUUUCCCUUUUUGACCACACGAAGAUUCGGUUGAUGAGACCACUUCAAGAAGUACAAGAUAUCGGACAACUAAGAACACUUCGGAAUGAAGAGGAUUUUACCGUGUAUUAUAAUAAUGGAAACUACAACGGUUUAAGACUCCGAAGACUAGGAGAAUUUGAAGGCCCUGUAGAAUUUUCCAGAUUUGUAUGACCUAGGAAGGCACCCCUUAUGGAACUUGGCAAACUAAGGAAGCUGUCGAUACCCGAGGUCAAGGUGUACCGGAGAAAGACCGGAAUAUGGAGCAUGAGAACUCAAAGUUUUGUCAAGAAAACCCUAAGGCAGGAGAUAUCAACUAUGGUAGAUAGCUCAUGGCAAUGACAAGGGCAGAAACACGGUUAUCCGUGAUGUCAUCGCCACUGUUACUAUCGUCACCGAGCUGAGCUAAGCAUGCAUUUCUUUGGAAGGAUUGGAUGGUAGAAGGCUGAUGGAGCACCUAUCAGUAAGAUGAAGUUUUAACCUUAGCUGGUGUAUCGCCAGAAUCUUGUGUAAUACAUCAAGAAUUUUAAGAUGGGGCUCCAGGAAGCUGUAUUAGACAAGGAAGCAUUUUGUGAAGAACUUAGGAACCCGAAGCUGAAAGUAGCCAAGCUGGAGGAGCUACAACCUCGAGAUACCGGAGAUUUGUCAGGAACUGAAGGACAGUAGGACCAUGGUUCAUGCCAAGGAUGUUGAAACCCAGAAGUUUGGAACGCAACCCCAGAAUAUUGAAGGACGUCAUGAGAGACUUCGCGUCGACAGAGAUGAUCUGGCAAAAGAACUUGAGAAGGAUAAGCACGACCGAAAGAAGCCAUCGGAGACAUGAACGAAUCUCGAAGAGUUUGACACUUUGAAGAUUCAUUGAUCUUUAGAAGACCAAGCCCCUGUUAUAUACCUACGUUAGAUGCGACGAUUCUGAGCUGUCAUUUGUUUGAUGUUUUUCCGAUAGCCACAAAUGAAAUCUGUCUUUUCAAAACUAUUGGUUGCAUUGUGUGUAUCCCUCUCUAUCUCUCUUAUCUCACCCCAAACCCACAUGGACCCAAUAGAGGAUGAAUGGAGAGGAGCUUGUAUUUUCUGGACCGAUGAGUCAGUUGGAGACAGACCGAUGGAUUCAGAACAUGGAGGAUCACAUGGAGAAUAACCCUAUAGUUGGAAAUGAUAUGACCCAGCAUGCUCUUCAGUGCUUUGAAAGAGGUGCUGCUACUUGGUGGAGGAUGUACCAAACCAUGAAUGGAUGGCAAGGAGUAACCACUUGGAAAGAAUUUAAGUUGACUCUGCAAAGAUCUCAUCUUGUGUCCCAGAAGUUGAAGCCUUAUGGAGAGGAUAUGAAGAAACCUUGUGCAUGGAAUAUUUGUUGAGAAAUAGGACACACCCAUAAAGAACACAAGGAUGAAUGCCCUAAAUGUGAAGGAAGUCACACAGCUGGAGAAUGCCCAACUAGGCAGAUCACUUGUUUCUUGUGUGAAAGGACUACCCACACCCUGCUCAGUGUCACAUUUACCCCAUGGUACAAUGAACCAUCCAGCAGAAGAAAGAAGCAAUGAAAGGAGCCCUUAUGGAAAUUUUAGAAGAACUCGUGAUGAAGGAAGAUGUCGGGGACACACCCAAAGAAGAACCAAUUAAACCCUGCACCAAGUCAUGCUAAUCAUGUGGAGAAGAAGGACACAUCUCCCAGAAAUGUUUGAAUGGGGAUCUUGUAGUAUUCCCGACAGAGGAAGUAGAGUAUGACCCACAGGAAUUAGAAGCCCUGAUUGGAACGGAAAAGUCCAGAAAGAGAACUAGAUUGGAUUCCAGGAAGGAUAUGAGUCAUAUCACCUGUUAUAGGUGCAAGGAGUCAGGGCACUACCUCAGCAAUUGACCAAAAAGGAAGCCAAGGACCCAAGGAGGCUAUAUAAUCACAAGGAAACCUCAGGAGUUGUCAGAAGUAAUAUGUUUUCGUUUUAAUGAAGCAGGGCACUUUGCCAGGGAUUGUCCCAAGGAGAAGGAGACUUGUGAUAGUUAGUUGUGUCUGUGAGAAGUAAUGUAGUAGUAGUAGAAUUAGUGGGAACAACUCUUUUGUAUCAAGGUGUUGAGUUGAGACAUGUAAUGGAAAAUCGAGAGAUUGCAAUAAUUGGAGAAUGAAUAAAGUUAGCAUCGUUGGUACUGAUAUGGAUUUUAUGAGUUGUUACUCUAUGAAGAAGAUUUUUGACCAUUUUCAAGGAUAUGAGAAAUAUGGUCUAUGGAUGAAUUUGUGCAUUUCAAGGGUGGUAGUACCCUGCGAGGACAAUUGACCCCUGGAAAAGAUAAGCAUAUUCCACUGAGUGGAUUUCAGACAAAAUAAGUACGAGUUUUAUCUCGAUAUGUGGGAUACCCCAAGAAUAUGAGGGGAUGAAGUAUUAUUGGAUAUAGAGGAGGUAAUGUUGGUAAUAAGGAGCAGUUGUAACUCCAUGAUGAGCCUGAGUAAUCACGUCUUAGUUUGGUGCCAAUAGAAGGAAGAGAGACAAUACAAUUGGAUGGAGUUUAAGUAUGCUAGGAAGCUGGAAGUUGGAUGUUGGAUUAAAGAUUAGUUGCCCCGAGGAUGAGUUCAAGGUUUACAAGUGAUGAGAUGGGCCAUCACCUACAGGCCCCAGGACCUGCCAAGAAGCAAGCACACUCUUGCUGAAGGAAAAACCCUAGAAGAAAUUACGACUUUUACCGGCAGACGAUCUUAUAGGAGUAACGCAAAAUCUGAGAGUUGUGAAGGAACGAUAGAUGUUUGUGUGGCUUGCAGAAUCAAUGGAUUUAUCCGAACCUAGUUCGUUGACAAGAGAAAUUAUACAAUGCUUGUGAGGAUGACCGAGUGUUAGAAUGCGAGAUUCGCUAAACCAUAUAGAGGGUAAUGAUUUGGGUGUGGGAUGGCUUGAUCACCAUACCGACUUACUCUUAUUAUUCGUCUUGCUAUAUGGGAUGGUAAAUCUGAGUGACUUACCUAUAGUAGAGAGACGAUGAUCAAAACCUUGUUUAAACCUUAGAAUGGUAUAGCAAUUUUUUCCCUUGUACAAGGCAGCUUUUGCCAACCGUAGGUUAUACGGUGAGGUUCAGCCUAGACCCAUUUCCAACAGGAGAAAACGAUAAACUAUUGACCACCAUGAGAUAUCGAUAGUUGUUUAGUAUGGGCGCCAGGCCCAUUAGCUAAGAAGACCCAAUCUCGGAAGAACCUUACCAAGAUGAAAGACAAAAGAAUUGAGGAAAAGGUUAUGCCACUACCGAAAGAUCCCAGAUAAGGAAUUAUCCUAAAGAUCCGAGAAGACCGACACUGUUAACAAUAUGGAUGAAGUAUAUGAGUUUUGAUCAAACCGUAACCAUGCUUCUAAGGGUGGUAGCACCCCAGACCCCCUCCCGCGACAAUUGAUGGAUUUUGAGGAGACCCCCAAACCCUAACCUUUUUCUUGCUAGCCUUUCUGAAUCUCGAGGACAAGAAUCAUUUUAAGGGUGGUAGGUUUGUAACAUCCCAAAAUUCUAAAUUUUGGAAUGUUAUAAUAAAUAGAUAGAUUGAUUGUUUGUUUGAUUGUUGUGUGACUGAUUGAGUGAAAUUCGAAACUUUUUGAAAGUUAAAUGAGAGGGAAUAAAAGGACUUUCCCAAACUUUCACCUUUUUGCAUUUUGAUCUCCGUGAAUUCAAAUUCUUUUCAAAUACAAAACCCUCGAGAGAAGAUGAUAUGACUUCUUCCAUUUAAUUAAAUGAAAGGGUUUUUUGAAAAGAUUUGAAUUUUAUUUGGAAAUAUUUCAAAAUUCAGAAACUUUAAGCAACUCAAUGAUUUUCAUGAGAGAAGAUAAAAUGACUUCUUCAAAAUAUAGGAAAUAGGAGUUGGAAGUUUAAAAGGAUCAAAUUUAAAGUCCGUUUGAAAUUAUUUUCAAUUUGGAGUUAUUUGGUUUUAUUCAAAUUAUUUUUCUCCAAAAAUAAAAUAAAUGGAAAAUAGGGUAAAAUGAUUCCCUAAAUCAGAAAAUUGGAGAGAAAUAAUUUUGGUAUUUCAAAAAUGAUUUUUAUUGGGUUUCAUUAUAGAAGUAGCACUGUUUGAAUUAUUUGAAUUUUUGUGUAUUUUGUUUGGCACUAGAGAAAUGUUCAUGUUGUGGAAAAUCUUUUUCUGAAAGUUUUGAUAUAUAAUAUGCCUAUGUAAAAUUUUAUUUUAUUAUCGUUACCCAGUUUUCUUUUUUUGUUUCUAUAUAAAAAAAGAAAAAAAAUCUACGCGUGCGCCUGGAACUAACCGCCGCCCACAUGCGUAGCAAAGCAGCAGGCCGCCCCAUUUUUCUUUUGUUUUCUUUUGUCUUUUCUUUUAUUUUCUUUUCAUUCAUGUAUAGUUUUUUUGAAACAAAUUUCAGAAAAAAAUAGACUUUGGAAAAAAAUGCAGCCGUAUACGACGCGUGCCGGCCGGGGCCUUUAGGCCCGUGCCAGGCGUUAGCCUUUUUCUUCUCUGUAUCGUAUAUUUUUGUCUACGUUUAGUUCCAUAUUGUCUAGCCUUCGACCCUUAAACCUUUUUUCCACCUAUAAAUAUAGACCCAUAGAGCCUCCAAAAAUCAUCCGAUUCGGGUUAAAUCAAUAUUUUGAUUGACUAGAUUCAUUUAAGAAAAAUAUAUUUCUCCUCUCCGGCGCGACUUCUGGAAAUUGUCUCUUCUCUCCAAAGUCAUCUUUUCUCUACUUUAUAAAGGUAUUUUUCUUUGUUUUUUAUACUUCCAUAGUUUAUUAUUUCUAGAUUAAUACGAUAGAAUAAUUAGAUUAUCAAUUAGUCUACGUAUUUAUACAUUAGACCUUAGCCGUAGCUAUUUUUCUUCCGUAAA